UCCCUGCCUCAGCUGUUCCGCUCUGGUUCUUGUCAGCUCCGCCCUAAAAGGUGGAGUUUCUCAGGAGACUUCCACAAAGAAGGAAGUGCGGCCCUUUUUAGGGGGAUUUCCUGGCUUUUUAUUGUCCAGGGAAAUGCACCCCGAGCAGCGAGGAGGCAACGGAGUGUGAUUCGUCCCCUGGCUGCUGUGUACAGGCUUUGUGAAAAAUGAAGAGUCAGGAGGCUUGGGCAGUCAAGGACCCAGAAGCUUCAGUGCCUCAACUCCUGGGGUGUCUGUGUUGAGUGAUGUGCUGAGCUCUGAGGACAGAGGCCUUUUUCCCCCCAAAAAUAAAAAGGUAAAGCUGGA